CUUUAGAUUGUUGGAAAUGACAUAUUCAGAGUCUUCUUUACCUCUUUGGCAUUAUUAUUUGUGAGUCUAUGCUAUUUAUAAAUUGUGAGUCUAUGCUAUUUGUGAGUCUAUGCUAUUUAUAGAAAUCAGAACUCUAGACAUGGUAUUUAAGUUCAAAAACUUUUUUUGCCCCCCCCCCUUCCUCUAGGUUAAAACGUUUUUG